UUUUUUUUAUGCUAGCGUGAAAUAUUGUAAAUACAUGUAAAUACCUUUUGAAAACAAGCUCACAUGCUUUUGAAAAUUCGAAAGACAGGUUUGUGGUAAAUCAAUGAGCAAGCAUGAUAAUUUUGAUUUGUAGAGCUUUUUGUCAACUUUUGAUUAAUGUUUAAAAUAUGCUUAGGAACUCAACAUGUUCUUGAAUUGUGUUGUUUGUCCUAAGAUGAUUCUCAUUAUUUUUGUUAAACAUGAUUGAAGCUUGUGUUAUCCAAUCUAGCCGGGUGAGAAUGUGUGAACUUUCCAUUGUUUACAUAAAUAUUUGAGAGCCAGCAAUUGUGUAUGUUCAUUUGAUUUUAACUUAAUCUUGUUGUCAUUGAUAUGUUUGAUGUUGUGGAUAUGAUCAAGGCCUUGUUUCUUUUUGAGUGAUAACUACUUGGCCAAAUUUAACCUACCUUGUGAGAUAGUGAUCUUUUGUGUCCCCUUUUGAGCCUUAAAUUUUGAAAAAUUGUUUGUUUUUAUAAACCCUGAAACCAAAAGAAAAACAACUACUCUACCCUUGUCUUAGGAUAAGAGAGCAAUUGUAUUUCAUUAAGGGUUAUGUCAAGAUUCAAGUUGGGGAGA
rnacentral:lncRNA from 1 species